AUACUUCACAACAAACUCAUCUUAUAUAAUUAAACUAAUUGCAAAGAUGAAUACCAAGCCCUUUUUCUCCUUGUGCUUACUCUGCGCACUGCUUCUCAUCUGUGUUGUGGCAACUGAGCCAUCCAAAGAUGCGACACAAGCAGAAGAACCAAAGACACGGCCAGAUGCCUGGAGAAGUGGUGGAAGUGGAGGACAUGGUGGAAGUGGGGGACAUGGUGGAAGCGGGGGACACGGUGGAGGCUGGGGACAUGGUGGAGGCUGGGGACAUGGCGGUGGACAUGGCGGAGGAUGCAAAUGCUGCGGUCGAAAGGGCUGCAAAUGUUGCUGAAGUAAAAAAACACAAACAUGAACUGAAGACACACAUACGUGUGUACUCCAUGUAAUAAGUAUAGUAUGUAGAAUUAAGAAAUAAAAGCAUGGAAUCUAUAUCCGUGCUAGGGCUGUCAUAGGUUGACCGGUUUUCCAUCAACCAUGCAUGUAGUUUGACACAUCAUUUUACUAUACAAGAUAUAUAAUUCUACACUC